rnacentral:rRNA from 1 species
UACAGAGGUCCCGAGCGUUGUUCGGAUUCACUGGGCGUAAAGGGUGCGUAGGUGGUGAGGUAAGUCGGAUGUGAAAGCUCCAAGCUCAACUUGGAAAUGGCAUUGGAAACUACCUUGCUAGAGGGUUUGAGGGGGGACUGGAAUACUUGGUGUAGCAGUGAAAUGCGUAGAUAUCGGGAGGAACACCAGUGGCGAAGGCGACUACCUGGCCUGUUCUUGACGCUGAGGCGCGAAAGCUAGGGGAGCAAACGGG